CAUAUUUGAACAAUGCCAUGCAAGAACAGCUAAGUAAAUAUCUCAGGUUGAACUGAUGACUCGUGAAUACGUGCGCCCUUUACCUGUAUCGUGAAGAUGAUGUGUGUCAAAGUCCGCGCUCCAUGGCUACUCAUACGGUGAUACAUCUAUUACUUGGCCAACCUCAGUUAAGCGGCCAAUUGUUCGGUCCCGGGGGCGGCCGCUGCAUACAGGUACCACUGUAUCAAGAAGUCAACUGGAAUAACUUUUUCAAAGCCCAAGGUUUUGGAUAAUCAGUACACAGUUGUGGAAUCACUUUUCUCCCGCCCUUUUCAAAAAGCUCGGGCGCUUUGGGGCGAGUUGUCAGAUCCCACCGAGAUUGAAUUCUCGCCAGGAAAUUUUGUUUAAUACUAGUAUAUUUUAUUCUAUGAUUUAAAAAAAAAUAAUACUUAAGAACUUAACUUUCUUGUCCCAAAUUUAAUUUACUAUUAUCAGUAAGUUAAGUUGUAGCCUGCUCUCCAGUGCGUUAAUUCGGAAGUUCCUUUUUAUAUUUUGGUUUCGGGGUUCCUGUUGCGAGAAAAAACGAAGGGUAGGGGAGAAAGCCCCCCCCCCCCCCCCCCCCCACCCAAUUCUCGAUUUAUUUGCGCCACAGGGAUUCUGAACAAGGAAAUCACACAAGAGAACCGGCACGCAGACUGGUUAAUUUGCUUUAUGGGAAAUAUUUUUGGCACUUUUAUAUGAUGGAACUUAAAUUAACUCUUUUUUAGCACUUUGUUGAAAAAACGCAACAAAAGAAAUGGGUAAGGACAUGUUCCUUCAAUAAAAAUGCUUUUAUCUUUUUCACAUAACAAUUUCCUUUGGCAGCCCAUAGGAGGGGCGGAGGGGUUAAGCUACUGCCACCCCCCCCCCCCCCCCCAAACUCUGUAACGUAUUAAGGUAUUACAUUAUGCAUAUAACAUUUUCUGGCAAACGCUUUUACAUUUUGCGCUAAUCAAGGUAUACAAUUUUUGGCAAAUUGUAAUACAAGUUGCGUUGGCUUUACACCCACUUCCCUGGUUACACCAUCCAUAUUGAUGAUACAAUAUUUCAAAGUUUGGCUUACAAAAGUUACCUCAUUUUAUUAAAUAACAAUUUUAUUUAGCAAUUAUAAAAACAUUACAAAACGAUUAUCUGUUAAAAGGAAAGUGAUCCUACACAACUCUGCAAUUUAAAAUAUAUAGAUAUCAAACAAUUACUGCAAGGACAAAAAAUUACUUUAAAUUAUUAUUGUUUCCUUAUUAUCCCAGUCCCUCUUGUAGACUCAUGUAGAGGCAGGAACAGGGGUACGUCCCAGACACCUCAACCUCCUCAAAUACAACAAAAGAUUCAACAAGGAUGGAGAUCAGACACUGCACUAUAUGAUACAAAAAACUAAAAGUGGACAGAAUGAAUGCAUAUAACGAGCUGUGGUAGGUCUUAAAUAUUGAGGCGGGCAACGCAAUGAUAUAGAAACACAGCACAGCCAUGUUCCUACAUACAUAUCUGUGUUUUUUUAUUUGGGGGGGGGGGCAUAUGCACCCAGCUGAUUUAUGAGGCUUUUUAAGGCAUCCCUAUUGGUAAAAGGCCUUGAAAGCAACUGAAAACAUUUAAACUGUUCUUAGCUUUGGUUCUUGAAUUACAGAGAAUUACAUGAGAUUUUGAAAGAAAAGUUUAAUGACUAAAAGGAAUUGGAUGUAAAAGUGUAGUGUCAAAAUUCAAUCUUAAUUGGGUCCUUAUUUGAAAGGAACAGUUGUUGACAAAGGGCACUUAAUUGAUUCAUUACUGCACAGGUGGCCCAGGCUCAAGGCAAGUGAUCUAAGAGUGAGUGAACUUUAGUUUUUCAUAAUCUUGUUCAAAAAUAAACAUUCUGACUUCAUUAAAAAGAAGUUUCACAAUGUA